UAUAUAUGCUUUAUCAAAUGUGUGAGGACCUGGGUUUGAGUUCCUGACCACCACAUGGGAGCACCAUGAAAAAAUAAAGUUUUAUGGGCGAGUGACCUGGGAGGUGGCACAGUGGCUAAAGCACUGGAUUCUCAACCAUGAGGUCCCAAGUUCCAUCCCCAGCAGCACGUGUACCAGAGUGAUGUGGUUCUUUCUCUCCUUUUAUCUUUCUCAUGAAUAAAUAAAUAAAUAAAUUCUUUAUAUAUAUAUAUGUA